UCCCCCCGUGCGGCCCGUGGAUAAUGGCUCCUGAGGGCUCUCCCCGGGGCUGCUGAAGAGGAAACGCGGGGCGCGAGAGGCGCGGCGCGCGGGAGCGCGGGGGAGAAAGGAGCGAGCCCGGGGCCGCGGCGAGCGGCGGGCGGCAGAGAAAGGAAUCGUGCGAGCGCUCACAUUUUUCUCCUCCCAAGGAUCUCAUCUGGUCGCCGCGUUCUGGAAGAGGCGAGGGGAGAGCGCGCGCGAGGAGGAGGAGGAGGAGGAGGAGGAGGAGGAGGUGGAGGUGGAGGAGGCGAGGUGGCGAGGGGAAAGGGAGACGGCGAGACGCGCAGCCCCGGCGCCGGCGAGACCCAGGAGGAGCCCGCAGCCAGCCAGCCCCAGUCAUGCAGUCUUUUCGAGAAAGGUGUGGUUUCCAUGGCAAACAGCACAGCUACCAGCAGACCUCCCAGGAGGCCUCCCACCUGGAGAGUUACCGGCAGCCCGGCCAGGCCGGGCUCAGCUGCGACCGGCAGCGGCUGCUGGCCAAGGACUACUACCCCCAGCCAUCCUACCCCGCCUUCGAGGGCGGCGCGGGCCCGCCCGCCAGCGCGGGGGCCGCCGAC
rnacentral:lncRNA from 1 species